rnacentral:rRNA from 1 species
ACGCCCUACGGGGGAAAGGAGGGGACCUUCGGGCCUUUCGCGAUUGGAUGAACCCAGGUGGGAUUAGCUAGUUGGUGGGGUAAUGGCUCACCAAGGCGACGAUCCCUAGCUGGUCUGAGAGGAUGAUCAGCCACACUGGAACUGAGACACGGUCCAGACUCCUACGGGAGGCAGCAGUGGGGAAUAUUGCACAAUGGGGGAAACCCUGAUGCAGCCAUGCCGCGUGUGUGAAGAAGGCCUUCGGGUUGUAAAGCACUUUCAG